UUGGAUUGAGACAACGUACAAACCUUAUCGAUAAACAAUUGGAGGGCAAGUCUGGUGCCAGCAGCCGCGGUAAUUCCAGCUCCAAUAGCGUAUAUUAACGUUGUUGCAGUUAAAAAGCUCGUAGUUGAAAUGAAGGGUAGUUGUGUAAUGAAUACAUUCGUGUAUUUUGUUAUUCAACUACCCUCCUUCUAAAUUCGAUAUAUGAGUAUUAAUUUACUUGUAUAUGGUUUUAGACGUUUACUGUGAGAAAAUUAGAGUGUUCAAAGCAGGCAUUUGCUUGAAUAUAUUAGCAUGGAAUAAUCAUGUAUGAUUUUCAUGAUGUAUUUGAUUGGUUUGGUUCAUGAGAAUAAGAUUAAAAGGGACAGUUGGGGGUAUUCAUAUUCAAUAGUCAGAGGUGAAAUUCUCGGAUUUAUGGAAGAUGAACAAGUGCGAAAGCAUUUACCAAGGAUGUUUUCAUUAAUCAAGAACGAAAGUUAGGGGAUCGAAGAGGAU
rnacentral:rRNA from 1 species